rnacentral:lncRNA from 1 species
ACUCCGUGCUUUGCCAGCUACAGUCACAGGACUCCACAGUCUCUGCUACCUCCUCUUUUGUGUCAUAAUGUUAGCACCCUGAGGGAAUCAGACUUCCUGCUACCUGAGCAUUGGCUGGAAAUAAUAUUCUCACCUUGACAGGAGCCUGGCGUGACUGUCCUCUGAGAGGCUCUACCAGCAGCUGACUGAGACAGAUGCAGAUACUUACAGCCAACCAUUGGACUGAGGUCAGGGACCCCUAUGGAAGGCUCAGAAGAGCUGAAGGGGAUGGCAACCCCAUAGGAAGACCAACAGUGUCAACCAACUGGACCCCUGGAAGCUCACAGAGAGUGAACCGCCAACCAAAGAUCAUCAAUGGGCUGGUUCGAGCCAUCCAGCACAUGUGUAGCAAAGGGCUGCCUUGUUGGCCCUCAUAGGAAAGGAAAUGCCUGAUCCUGCAGAGACUUAAUUAGUCUCUUUUGACUUUCAAAAAUCUUCUUGAAAAUAGUUUUAAUUAGUCAAAUAUGAUCAUAAAGUAAAAUAAAGCAAUCAGAAGAUAAAGGUGUCUAAC